UGAGGUGUCCCUGCCCAUGGUGGGGGGGUUGGAACUUGAUGAUCUUAAGGUCCUUUCCAACCCUAACUAUUCUGUGAUUCUGUGCCAAGCUUUCAGUCUUCCCAGCUUCAGUUUUCUUUACUAGACACAGAAGAAAGAGCUGUAGCUGAAGAACAAGUCCACAGCGUCUAGCAAAUUGAGAAAAAUAAAGCGCACAUACACACACAAAACCAACUCCAAAAGCCAAUAAAAAGCAGUCCUGACUUCUUGUUUUCUCAGGUUUAUUUUACAGGUUAUUUAGCUCCUUAUGUGGAACUGUCUGGAUAGGCAGAUGUAAGCAGUGAUUUGUGGGAUGUAUUGAGGAGCAGUGUUCAGGUUUACCCCCCCCAGCAGGCAGAGGGUAACAGACACAAUAGCUUUAAUUCCCAUCUUUCCGUAAAAGGCUUGUCAAGUAGAAGCUUUGUGGUGGUGACUGUACAAAUACAGGGUUAGAAGCCAAGACACCAAUCUUCAGCUGGCCACAGCUGUGCUCACAACCCUUGCCACUGUGUAAAAAUGUUGCCAGACUAUUCAGCCAGAAAAGUGACGAAGAUGAGCCAAGGUAGUGAAUGGUAGUAUAGCUGCAGGCUUUAAAAUCAGCCUUCUGAGUCUGCUUAUCUGCCUUGGGUAGGCAGGAGAAAAGGGAUUAGUUUCUGAUGGCAUUUUAAUUUUCCAUAUACAACAGGAAAAAAAGGUGUAAUCUACUCUGGAAAAGAGAAGGCUCUGGUGAGACCUUGAGGCAGCAUUCUGGUACCUAAAGGAGCUGACAAGAAAGCUGUAGAGAGACUUUUGGCAAGGGCCUUUAGGGAUAGGACAAGGGGGAAUGACUUUAAACUGACCGAGGGUAGAUUUACAUUAGAUACCAGGAAGAAGUUCUUCCCUGUGAGAGUGGUGAGGUGCUGGCCCAGGUGGUCCAGCAAGGUCAGGGACAUGGGUUGGGACAACCCCUAGUAUCAGCAUAGGCUGGGCGUGAAGGGGUUGAGAGCAGCCUGUGGAGAAGGACCUGGGGGUACUGCUGUACGAAAAGCUGGAUGUGACCUGGCAGUGUGCAGCCUGGAAAGCUAACUGUAUGUUGGGCUGCAUCACCAGCAGUGUGACCAGCAGGUUGAGGGAGGUGAUUCUCCCACUCUCUUGCUCUGCUUAAGACCCCACCUGCAGUACUGCAUCCAGCUCUGGGGUCCCUAGCAUAGGAAGGACAUGGACCUGUGGAGUGAGUCCAGAGGAGUUCAUGAAGAUGCUUAUGGGCUGGAACACUUCUGCUAUGGAGACAGGCUGAGAGAGCUGGGCUUGUUCAGCCUGGAGAAGAGAAGGCUUCUGGGAGGCCUUAGAGCAGCUUCCAGUGCUCAAAAGCAGCUUAUAAGAAAGGUGGGAACAGACUUUUUGAUAGGGUCUGUUGUGACAGGAUAAGGGGUAGUGGUUUAAACUAAGAGAGGGUAGAUUCAGACCAAAUCUCAGGAGGAAAUCUUUUACAAUGAGGGUGGUGGGGCACUUUAACAGGUUGUCCUGAGAAGUUGUGGAUCCCUAAUCCCUGGAAACGUUCCAGGCCAGGUUGGACAGGGCUUUGAGGGACCUGAUCUAGUGGAAGGUGUCCCUGUUCAUUGAAGGGGGUUUGGAUUGGGUGAUCUUUAAGGUCCCGUCCAACACAAACUGUUCUAUGAUCUUUUUGGUUACUGUGUGUCUGAGAAUAUAAUACAUUUGGGGCAUGGUUAAAUGUGUUCGUUACUUGAUCUUUCCUGGGUCUUGUCUCUUUGCUUCCCUGACACCUGAUUUUAUUUGUAUUUUUGUACUUUCCAUAGCUUUGUAGUGUUGUAGGGAAGUUUACAUCUAAAUUCUGACCCUUCUCUUCAUUCAGAUUUAUGUAACACAGAAGCUGAUUCUGUUUUCCAGCUUCUCUUUCAUAAUGCAGAGUAACAGUGUUCCUGCUUUACCCCUUACUCAUCUUUGCUAUCUGUGUUCUGCAGCUGGUCAGUAUUGUAUUUCAGAGCCAUUAGUAGAGUUUACUUGCUAAAUGUGUAAAUCUGUCUCCUUCUGUUCUUUCUAGAUUGUCUUGUCUUGUAUUAAUCCUCCUUUUACUAAAGGCUUCAGCCUUUCUUUGACAAAAUAUAUUCAGAUGUGUAGAUCUUGCUUCUAUACAUGACAUACAAAGCCAUCAAACUUCCACUGGAGCAGCAAGAAUGCCUCCAGUGACUUCAAAUGAAAUCCACCUGGGGACCAGAUUAAAAAAUGCUAGCAGUUCACACCUGGGUUUCUGUGUAGACCAACAGCCAUUCCAACAGAAACCUCUUAAUGGGUUGGUGAGGAUGGCACAGCAGACAAGAUACUGACAAUAUCACUUCUCAAUUUCAUGCAGUGCUUCCGCUUGAGUAUUCAAGAACAAGUUUUCUUUUCCAGAGUCAGAUUUAUCAGCUUCAUACUUCUGGGAGUAAAUUAUAUACCAAACCAGUAACCUGUCCUCUUGUUUAAUAAAGGCUAACAGCAGGAAUGCUGAUAGCAAUAGCCUUUAGCUUUCUUAGAGCUGGUUCAGGCAAUUGCCUGCCUCACAAAGGCUAAACCUUGAAAGAUUUGUCUCUUCUUUUACCAAAGGCUUAAUGUCAUACUUGGAGGUGCUGUCUGUGAGUCUCUAUAAAUGCUACAAAGCACAUGUGUGUGCAGAUGCAGAUAAUGAGUGAAUAAAUGGAAAUACAAGAUUGUAGACAGUACUAACUUUGAUUCUGAAGUCUUCAGCUUCAGUUACAUCUUGCUAAGCAGAGCUAACUGCUAAGUUACAGAAAGUGUCAGCUACAGUCAGUGUCAAUGAUGCUAACUUCAAAAGGUAAAUCAUAAAGGAGUUGGUUCUGAUUGUGUAAUCCCGUAGGAAACAUUAGGCACAGUCUGAACAAGCUGCGUGCAUCUACAGUGGGAAGUUAACCUGGUUUCAUCAUCCAUAAGCACUCUAAGCAAAACAGCAUAUUCAUUAAACUGUGUUUGUUGGUAGUGGUGCUAGCUGUUAUAUGAAUGAAGGCUGGAAGACUUUUUUGGUAGGUGUGUUAGUUUUCAAGCAAGUUCUGCUGUCCUUUCAGCAUGUUUAACAGGAAAAUGAAAAUUGGACAUACUGGGAGAGGAUAACUUCUCUCUCUGAAGCUCUGUGGUUUGAAAGGAUGCUUGUAUGCUUUAUUUCCCUGAAAGCUAAGUGUCUCUGCUGUGCAGCUUUUAUUUUAAAGCAAGUACUAACUAGUUAGGUCUUACGGAGUAGAUUAACUGAACAGUGUGAAUGCUGCUUUACCUAUGGUGAAAAUGCAACCUUAAUACUCUUUCCUCAUCAUCUUGUCUGUGGAUUUGGUAUUUUGACAGAUGAGAACCAUGGUGUAAGCUCAUAAAUUUUCCAAGCUUGCUUAGUUUGCUGUGGAUGAGAGGUGCUAAGCAUCACUACAUAAAAUAGACAGGCAGUGUCUUAAACAAACAAGACUGUUUGAUCAACAGCACUGCCCUUUGCUAAGAGCUGAAAAUGUGGACAAGGGGACUUUCAGCACCUUCUAUGACAUGAGACAUUGAAAUUGUUAUUGAUACAUUUUAAAGGGUAUCUCCAUAACCUUGCUUUCCCACAUAUUAAUAAACCUCCUGGCAGAGGACAACUUCUAGAACCUAAUCUUAGCUUCAUCUGAGAGUCUGCAAUAGCUGAUCUCUUACAAAUAGACUUGAAUCUCCCACAGCAACAUGGAAAGUGUCUCAUAGGAAAAUAAAUCUGUACAAAUAGUGGCCAGAAUUAGUUGAAUAGCAAUAAUGCUUUUUCUCCAUCUUCGCUUCUAUGGUAUGUCUUAAAUUACACAUCUGGUUCACCUCUCUUCUGGUAACUGAGGAAUUAAGUUUUGUUUAUGAAACAAAUGUUCCUGUUGGAAGCUGAGUAUCUGUUUCUAGUCUUUUGAUGUGGCAGUGAUGAAAUCUGAAAUAUUAGUCAUAAACUCGUAAAUUCUUCUGUGUCGGAGGUUUCACAGUCAGGAUUCUGUUAGGAAGGUGUGUUAUAGGAAGGAAGCCACAUAGUGCUUAUCUGAUUUUUCUCUGCAGCUCUUGAAGUCUAUUGCCUAUUUAAAUAAUAAUGUGGCAUCAUAGGCUGUGGCUCCUUCUAGAGCUCUUCAAGAUUUCUUGAAGCAAAUGGCAUACCCUGCUUACCCUCUUUCUUAUUAUCCUGAAGUCACUAAAUUUCUGCAGCAGUACCAACUAUAUGACUGAGUGGUUUUGUAGCCUAAUUCUCUUCUCUGUGCGCAUAAUAAAUUCCUGGUACCUUUUUAAUACUGAAAACUUGCAGUAAUUGUUUCUUCUCUGGAAUAUUUUCUCUAACUACAGUUACCUCUGGUGUCAUCACAUGAAUAAAUAAAAUAAUUCGGUUUUGA